UAGGUCGACCCGCUGAAUUUAAGCAUAUCACUAAGCGGAGGAAAAGAAACUAACCAGGAUUCCCCUAGUAACGGCGAGUGAAGAGGGAAAAGCCCAGCACCGAAGCCUGCGGCAGUUUUGCUGCUAGGCAAUGUGGUGUUUAGGUCGGCUCGUGGGAUCGCCACUCCACUCGAAGUCCAGCAUUGAGUAUGGUUCCCAGGAAUUGGCCCAUAGAGGGUGAAAGGCCCGUACGAGUGGAAGUGUCAGACAUGUAAGGCGAUUCACCAGGCCGGCCUUAGAGUCGGGUUGUUUGCGAAUGCAGCCCAAAGCGGGUGGUAAACUCCAUCCAAGGCUAAAUACUAGCACGAGUCCGAUAGCGAACAAGUACCGUGAGGGAAAGUUGAAAAGUACUUUGAAGAGAGAGUAAACAGUACGUGAAACCGCAUAGAGGUAAACGGGUGGCGUCAAGCUGCAAGCCCAGAGAAUUCAGUCGGUCAGGGUGUUGUUAUGCGCCCAGCGCAUCUAUCAGUCAGUGUAGAGUUUGGCUAGUCCGCUGGCAAAUGGCGGGCCCAGCUGUCAAAGGCUGGGAUUUGUGUACCGGGAGGUAGCCGGAGCAAGCUAGCCGUCUGUUGGACUGCCUGGCCGAUGCACUUUCUCUGUUUGGUGAACACCACGACCGGUGGUACUGCCAGUCUGCCAUAGCCAACCUCGUCACACGAUCUGGCCUUCUCGGUUGGAGCGUGUGGCGAUGACACAGGCAAUUUCAGUGCACGGUGCCUGUGUGUUUUCCGCACACGGGCAUGUUAUCGGGUACUGGUUGUAAACGGGUUUCCCGGUGGGCUAUGGUGGUAUGAAUAACUGUGCAGGGCACCGGAGUUUUCGGUCGAAGUCGAGGGACUUGUUCCCGAGGCUAGCUGGACACGCGUUAAAAGGCGAUGCUGCCAAGUCCUGCCAGUCGUUGGGUCUGAUUGUCGUGUCGCCUGCCAAAAUGGCGGGUCCGGCAUUGGCCUGGCGUUGGAUGGUGUCUGUGGGCGGUGUUGUCAGUGUUCAGUUGAACGGCCCAAUAGUCUGUGGUGUAGUGGUAGACGAGCUACCCGACCCGUCUUGAAACACGGACCAAGGAGUUUAACAUGCGCGCGAGUCAUUGGGUCCUACGAAACCUAAAGGCGCAGUGAAAGUGAAGCCUCGACAUAUAUUGUUCUCGGGGUGUGGUGAGAUCCUGCUGUUUCUCGCAUACAUGUUGUCCAGCACUGGGCUAACUAGACGAGCAGUAGGCGCAUCACCGGCCCGUCCCAUGAUGUGGUUACUUGUCGGGUGGCUUUGCUCACUUUGUGAGAAUUGUCGUUCUGGCGGGUACGUCAUCGGGGCGGAGCAUGAGCGCGCAUGUUGAGACCCGAAAGAUGGUGAACUAUGCUUGCGUAGGUUGAAGCCAGAGGAAACUCUGGUGGAGGACCGCAGCGAUUCUGACGUGCAAAUCGAUCGUCAAACGUGAGUAUAGGGGCGAAAGACUAAUCGAACCAUCUAGUAGCUGGUUCCCUCCGAAGUUUCCCCCAGGAUAGCA
rnacentral:rRNA from 1 species